rnacentral:rRNA from 1 species
ACGGAAGGCAGCAGUGAGGAAUAUUGGUCAAUGGACGCAAGUCUGAACCAGCCAUGCCGCGUGCAGGAAUAAGGCCCUAUGGGUCGUAAACUGCUUUUGUGGUGGAGCAAUAAGUCGUACGUGUACGGCGAUGAGAGUACAUCACGAAUAAGCAUCGGCUAACUCCGUGCCAGCAGCCGCGGUAAUACGGAGGAUGCAAGCGUUAUCCGGAUUUAUUGGGUUUAAAGGGUGCGUAGGCUGUGGUCCAAGUCAGGGGUGAAAGCCCGGAGCUCAACUCCGGAACUGCCUUUGAUACUGGAUUGCUGGAAUACGGAUGCCGUGGGAGGAAUGAGUAGUGUAGCGGUGAAAUGCAUAGAUAUUACUCAGAACACCGAUUGCGAAGGCAUCUCACGGAUCCGUCAUUGACGCUGAGGCACGAAAGCGUGGGGAUCAAACAGGAUUAGAUACCCUGGUA